rnacentral:rRNA from 1 species
CCUACGGGGGGCAGCAGUGGGGAAUAUUGGGCAAUGGGCGCAAGCCUUACCCAGCAAGACCGCGUGAGUGAAGAAGGUCUUCGGAUUGUAAAGCUCUUUGAUCAGGGACGAACAGAUGACGGGACCUGAAGAACAAGCCCCGGCUAACAACGUGCCAGCAGCCGCGGUUAAACGGAGGGGGCGAGCGGUGUCCGGGAUGACUGGGCGGAAAGGGUGCGUAGGCGGCAUAAUAAGUUAGAAGUGAAAUACCCAGGGCUUAACCCGGGUGCUGCGUCUCAGACUGUUGAGCUUGAGGGCGGGAGAGGUUAAUGGAAUUCCUGGGGUAGCGGUGGAAUGCGUAGAUAUUAGGAGGAACACCAGAGGCGAAGGCGAUUCACUGGACCGUAACUGACGCUGAGGCACGAAAGUGUGGGUAGCAAACAGGAUUAGAUACCCCAGUAGUC